rnacentral:ncRNA from 1 species
AGACAUAUACCUCUCCCCUUAAACCGAGACCUAUAGGGAGUUUAAAUUACGUCUCUCAUAUCCACCAGUGAAGGGAUUGGUGGAAAUAUAGUUUCGC